rnacentral:piRNA from 1 species
CAGAAUCACCAGAAGAA